UACAGAGGGGGCAAGCGUUGUUCGGAAUUACUGGGCGUAAAGGGCGCGUAGGCUGCCUUCUAAGUCGAACGUGAAAUCCCCGGGCUCAACCCGGGAACUGCGUCCGAUACUGGAAGGCUUGAAUCCGGGAGAGGGAUGUGGAAUUCCAGGUGUAGCGGUGAAAUGCGUAGAUAUCUGGAGGAACACCGGUGGCGAAGGCGACAUCCUGGACCGGUAUUGACGCUGAGGCGCGAAAGCCAGGGGAGCAAACGGG
rnacentral:rRNA from 1 species